UGUACGCACGUGUGUACAUGUUUAUCUCACCGAUCACCAUUCUGAACAUUGCUGUGUCAAGCCAAAGAUGCCUAUUAGCCUAUUUUAAGUAUGACGAACACAAUAGGAGGGCGCUAUAUCAAAGUGGGUACAUCUGAGCAAAUGCAUAAGAUUUUACCCAAAUCAAACAGUACCCUCCAUUUGUGUCCACUGUGCUUCAGAUAGGCUUACAGUCUAGGCGCCUCUUGGAUAAGACUGUGAAUACACUGAACAGGUGGAACAGUGGAUUCUGCUGUUUGGGUGUAACAGUUUUGUCAGGAAAUGUUUUCAGCUAGGUUUCAAAUGAACCUUCCAAGUAACACUGAUAUUUUCAUCACUUGAUGUUUUGAUUGCUUUUGUAUGACAUUCAAAUAUAAUGUCACACAGUGAAGAGAAAGGAGACAAGUUUUCCCUUAUAAAUGCUUGCGUACUUGUAUAUUUGUCUUUUUUGGUACAUGUAUUGAAACUUUGCCAAAACAUGUGCGUGUAUAAGGCUAUUUCCCUUACUCUAAUCAACAAGACCAACCUACAUCUGAGUGAACUUCACUUGCCUUCAACGAAUUAAACAACCUCAUGUUAUUAAAUGCACUUGUUGUUGAAGGCUAAUGCAAAGCUUAAUGCCUUAAUCUCAUGAUGGAGGUUCAUGAAUUUGGGUGCAAAGGCAAAUGACCCAGUUUUCUCUGCUGAUUACUCAGUGAUAGACAAACAUGUACAUGUAUGUUACAUGUGCAUGUCAAACCACUGUCAAUGGAUGUGAAAUGGCGGAUUUGCUGAAAGACACCAUAUCCUGAUUUUGACAGCGUGAAGAGUGUACUGUUUUCACUGAUCUGUCCAAGAGUAGCAUGUGGAUGGAGUGAAGUAAAAAAAGGGGGUUUCCUUCUAGGUAAACUACUGAAUUUGAUGAAUAAACUACUCAAGUACUAGCAGUCAACACCUCAACUGUCGAGGACUAUGUAUCAUUUGCUGAUUUCUUUCUUUUGAGUAAGAUCUUACAAGAGCAGUGACCAGUGAUGAAAGAUACAAAUACAAUUUGUCUUUGUAAAAUGUUGAAUAAAUAGCAACCAGUCUUGAACAGAAUGACACAUGUACGGUAACUCUCCAUUUUACCCUAAAAAAUAAGAAAUUGUGGAAUUACUCUUUGAUCCUAACUCCUUUUUUACAAUGAACUACAUGUACGUUGUUGGCUACAUGUAGAAUUUGUCAGUUUCACUGGUCUUCAGAAUACUACUGAAAACUCACUGGUCUUGAGAAUACUUUUCAACUGACAUUACAAUCGAGUCUCCAAACAAGAGCCAAUACAGUGAGCAUACUGACCUAAAAAUGACCCCAAUCCACACCCCACCCUCUAGCCAAAGCUGUCUUCCGCUCACCAAUUGUUCCCAUCUCCACACUUUCCUCUCCCCUACUUCUCUUCUUUUGUCUCCCGAUUCCCAAGAUAAGGCCUUCCCUUCCUCUGCCCUGUGUUCGGUUCCGGUAGUGAAUGUUUGGCUGGACAGGUUGGCACAGCUCACAGGUGCCUCACCUCUGACUGACUCAAAUACUCAUUCUGGGAUUGUGCUUUCAAUGAUUUCAUCGGAACCAGCAGGGUUCCAAACCCACAUGAAUGAAGCUAGUUCUCAGUUUCUGCCUUUGUGGUCAUCCCACCAAAUCCUUCAGUGAGACAGGUUUUUCCUGAAGUUUAGAAUCUCCUCAAGUCCACAGAUUCGAGUCUGAAGCGCCACCCACUGGCAGUCAGCGCCACCCACUGGUAGUCUCAUGUAAUGUGACAUUGAUUCCCAUCCCUACAUUUUCCUCU